rnacentral:lncRNA from 1 species
AACUCACAGCUGGCUGCUGACGAUUUUGCCACCUGACCCAGAAGGCCUGCACGAGGCAGCACAUGCUGAGGAACAGGUCGGUCCCUGGCUGCCACAGCACCUCGGCAGGAGGGGAAACAUCUUGCUGAAAUGGCAACAUGGGCUACGCUGGAGUCUCGCUCGGACAUUUCAGAUCCUGCAAGAGAAAGACAAAAGGCCACACAACAUCUAGCAAACAACACUGACCACUGGGAACAGCAGUAAGGAUUCCAACAGAACACAUUCAGGAUUACCUCUUGUGUGGGAAACGGGACAGAAGACAUGACUGCAGCUGCGUCCGGGGACAGAAAAAGAAAAGAAAUCCCGGCCACGGGGAAGCAAGAGAACCCACCAGGAACAGACCGA